rnacentral:rRNA from 1 species
AUGCCAGCCGCCGCGGUAAUACCGGCAGCCCGAGUGAUGGCCGAUCUUAUUGGGCCUAAAGCGUCCGUAGCCGGGCUCACAAGCCCCUGGUUAAAUUCUACGGCUUAACCGUAGAUUUGCUGGGGGAACUGUAAGCCUUGGGGCCGGAAGAGGCCGAGGGUACUCCCGGGGUAGUGGUAAAAUGCUAUAAUCCUGGGGGGACCACCAAUAGCGAAAGCACUCGGCUUGGACGGGCCCGACGGUGAGGGACGAAGGCCAGGGGAGCGAACCGGAUUAGAAACCCCGGUAGUCC